UGGGGGAUAUUGCACAAUGGGCGAAAGCCUGAUGCAGCGACGCCGCGUGGGGGAUGAAGGCUUUCGGGUUGUAAACCUCUUUCGCUAUCGAACAAGGCCCGCUUAGGGUGGGUUGAGGGUAGGUGGAGAAGAAGCGCCGGCUAACUACGUGCCAGCAGCCGCGGUAAUACGUAGGGCGCGAGCGUUGUCCGGAAUUAGUGGGCGUAAAGGGCUUGUAGGCGGCUUGUUGCGCCUGCUGUGAAAACGCGGGGCUUAACUUCGCGCGUGCAGUGGGUACGGGCAGGCUUGAGUGUGGUAGGGGUGACUGGAAUUCCAGGUGUAGCGGUGGAAUGCGCAGAUAUCUGGAGGAACACCGAUGGCGAAGGCAGGUCACUGGGCCAUUACUGACGCUGAGGAGCGAAAGCAUGGGUAGCGAACAGG
rnacentral:rRNA from 1 species